GGAUUAACGCUGGCGGCGUGCAUAACACAUGCAAGUCGAACGAUGAAACUUAACUGAUUUCUUCGGAAUGAUUUUAAGUGGAUUAGUGGCGGACGGGUGAGUAACGCGUGAGUAACCUGCCUUGGAGAAGGGGAAAGCCUUUGGAAACGAAGAAUAAUACCCUAUGAUAUGAUAAUAUCUCAUGAUAUUAUCAUCAAAGAUUUAUCGCUCUAAGAUGGACUUGCGUCUGAUUAGUUAGUUGGUGAGGUAACAGCUCACCAAGGCAGCGAUCAGUAGCCGGCUUGAGAGAGUGUACGGCCACAUUGGGACUGAGACACGGCCCAGACUCCUACGGGAGGCAGCAGUGGGGAAUUUUGCACAAUGGGGGAAACCCUGAUGCAGCGACGCCGCGUGAUUUAGAAGGCCUUCGGGUUGUAAAAAUCUUUUGUAUGGGAAGAAAAUGACAGUACCAUACGAAUAAGGACCGGCUAAUUACGUG
rnacentral:rRNA from 1 species